rnacentral:tRNA from 1 species
GGGUCGGUAGUCUAGUGGCUAUGACGUCGCCCUUACAAGGCGAAGGUCGCCAGUUCAAAUCUGGCUCGACCCA